rnacentral:rRNA from 1 species
GGAGGGAUCAUUAAAGAGUUCUAUAACUCCCAAACCCAUGUGAACAUACCUAACGUUGCCUCGGCAGGUCGCACCUACCUUGUAGCACCCUACCCUGUAGGGCCUACCCGGGAGGUGCGGGUAAGCCUGCCGGCGGCCCACCAAACUCUGUUUGAUAUUGAAUUCUGAACCUAUAACUAAAUAAGUUAAAACUUUCAACAACGGAUCUCUUGGUUCUGGCAUCGAUGAAGAACGCAGCGAAAUGCGAUAAGUAAUGUGAAUUGCAGAAUUCAGUGAAUCAUCGAAUCUUUGAACGCAUAUUGCGCCCAUUAGUAUUCUAGUGGGCAGGACCGUUCGAGCGUCAUUUCAACCCUUAAGCCUUCGUUGCUUAGUGUUGGGAGCCUACGGCAACGUAGCUCCUCAAAGUUAGUGGCGGAGUUGGUUCACACUCUAGACGUAGUAAUUUUUUAUCUCGCCUAUUAGUUGGACUAAUCCCCUGCCGUAAAACCCCCAAUUUAUCAAGGUUGACCUCGAAUCGGUUCAGACAAACUCGCUAAAUUGAAGCAUCUUAGUCAGCGAAGGAAAAGAAACCAACAGGGAUUGCCCUAGUAACGGCGAGUGAAGCGGCAACAGCUCAAAUUUGA